GACGAACGCUGGCGGCGUGCUUAACACAUGCAAGUCGAACGGAAAGGCCCUGCUUUUGUGGGGUGCUCGAGUGGCGAACGGGUGAGUAACACGUGAGUAACCUGCCCUUGACUUUGGGAUAACUUCAGGAAACUGGGGCUAAUACCGGAUAGGAGCUCCUGCUGCAUGGUGGGGGUUGGAAAGUUUCGGCGGUUGGGGAUGGACUCGCGGCUUAUCAGCUUGUUGGUGGGGUAGUGGCUUACCAAGGCUUUGACGGGUAGCCGGCCUGAGAGGGUGACCGGCCACGUUGGGACUGGGAUACGGCCCAGACUCCUACGGUAGGCAGCAGUGGGGAAUAUUGCACAAUGGGCUGAAGCCUGAUGCAGCAACGCCGCGUGCGGGAUGACGGCCUUCGGGUUGUAUAGCGCUUUCGCCUGUGACGAAGCGUGAGUGACGGUAAUGGGUAAAGAAGCACCGGCUAACUACGUG
rnacentral:rRNA from 1 species